CGAAAGCCUGACGGAGCAAGACCGCGUGGGGGAGGAAGGUUCUUGGAUUGUAAACCCCUUUUCUCAGGGAAGAACACAAUGACGGUACCUGAGGAAUCAGCAUCGGCUAACUCCGUGCCAGCAGCCGCGGUAAUACGGAGGAUGCAAGCGUUAUCCGGAAUAAUUGGGCGUAAAGCGUCCGUAGGUGGCUGUUCAAGUCUGCCGUUAAAGACCGGGGCUUAACCCUGGAAAGGCGGUGGAAACUGAACGGCUAGAGUGCAGUAGGGGUAGAGGGAAUUCCCAGUGUAGCGGUGAAAUGCGUAGAGAUUGGGAAGAACACCGGUGGCGAAAGCGCUCUGCUGGACUGCAACUGACACUGAGGGACGAAAGCUAGGGGAGCG
rnacentral:rRNA from 1 species